GCCUGGGUGGCUCAGUCAGUUGAGCAUCCGACUUGGUUUCAGCUCAGGUCAUGAUCUCACGGUUUGUGGGUUCGAGCCCCACAUCGGGCU
rfam:Felis catus isolate Cinnamon breed Abyssinian chromosome B2, whole genome shotgun sequence.